AGUUAGGUCAGGAGCUAAGCACACAGCUGUUCCUGUAAAUGCCCCCCGUGCCUGAACACAUUUUUACUUGGAUACAAUCAUAAAAGAGCCUACAAACACAGAAUGAGGGGAGACUGCGAAGGUGCCACUGCUGACGCCUGAGAACUUCGGGCCGGUUCACCUCUCCAGACGGACUGGCUGCCCAGGGAACAGAGCACAGGGAGUCCCCCCAGGCUGAGAGGAGGCAGAGCUGCCUGGAGCCCAGAGGCAUCGCCCCGGGGGGCCGCAAGAGGGAAGAAAAAGGAGCCUGAAGAAGGACCUCGGAGUCUGUAGAGAAAAAGUCUCGACCUUCAGAAGAGCUGUCGGCCAGGAUGUCAGAGCACCUCCUGAGGACAGCAGUAAGGAGAACCAGUGUCCUGCCGGAGGGGGAGACAGGGCCCUGAGGUCUCCAGCUCUCCUCCCCUCUUUCCAGCUGCCGCCACUAACUCUACUCCUCAAGACUACGAAGUGGAUAUGACCGCCCAGCAGUCCCUCCCUUUCUCCUGGCUGUGUGGGAGUAGAAAGAGCCAAGGAAGUAACAAAGUCAACCAAUGCGAGAAAGGUAGAAUGGUUCCAGAAAAGCCACAAAAUUCGUGCAGCCCCACAUAAUUCAUAUGGACAUUUAGAAAGGGUAAACUACAUCAUUACAUUUAUCUAACACGUAGACAGGGUCAGAACUAUAUCAUUCUUCAUAGUAAGGAGCAAGUGGUAGAAGAGUUUGAAUACACAUACACAAAUGUGUGUGCACAUCCACGCACAUUUAACUAGUUAUAAAAAUUAAGGAAGGAGAGUUCAUGGUUAACAGUGGUUUGUCUCUAGAGCAUGAAAUUAGGAUGAUCAAGUGCCUUCUCUUUUCACUUUGUACACUUCUGAACAGUUUAUUUUUUUAAUGAGCAUGUAUUGCUAUUCUAUUUUAAUGGACACAUACUGGCAUUUAUUUUACAUACAACUGCUAUAACAAAACAAAAUGAUAAAAAUGUAGUGUUAACUGGA